CCCGAUAUUCUGCUAUCGGUAACCUACCUGGACAUGCAUGGUGAGCAAUCACAUGUGUGAAGCUCCAGGGACAACGGUACUGUCACCUGCCACCAAGCCGUGAGGUAAGGUGGUUACUGCCAGCAUCAGGCGGUUAAGUAU
rfam:Magnetococcus sp. MC-1, complete genome.